UCAAUACAACUUCUACAUCACAAAGAACACGUUGUUACAAAGACGAGACUGAACACCCGAAUGUACCUCCAGCUGUGAUUGACAUUCCAUGUAGGUAAACAGCGGGAUACAUCAUUGUGGAGACUACCUAUGACGCUCCAGAAGAUAAUCCUGUGUAUGGUGCUAUAUUAGAAAUCUGUGAAAUAGAAGUCUAUGGUUGCAGCGUAGGAAAAUUUGGAGAGUUUUGCGAAAAUUGUCAUUGUUCAACUUGCGGUGUUAUUGACGGUUCAUGUCCUAUAGCAUGUAGUGCCAAUUGUAAAGAUAGAACAUGUAAUUCAUCUUCUGGAUAUUGCACCAAUGGAUGCAAGGAAUCUUAUAAUGGACCCAAAUGUGGGGAUCCUUGUAGUUCGCAAUGUAAUCCCCAGAGCUGUGAUGGAGUAAGUGGUGUGUGCACUGGAUGUAAGAAUGGCUUCUACGGUCUAUUUUGUAAUCAGACGUGCAGUCCAUUUUGUAGAUUUAACACUUGCGAUAUCCAUACUGGAGAAUGUUAUCAUGGAUGUAAAUCAAACUGGACAGGAAACUUUUGCAUGAAAUGGAAUUAUUCACACUUUGGCCGUGACUGUUCUGAGAAAUGUAGCAUUAACUGCAAAUAAUGUCACAGGAGUUUGCACCAAAGGAUGUGAAACCGGCUUCUUCAGUGAGACCUGCAAUAACAAUUGUAACACUGAUUGUUAUAAUGGAUGUAACAGAGUUACAGGCUAUUGUGAUAAUGGCUGCAUCAUUGGAAAGUUUGGAGCGGAAUGUCACAAAAAUUGUGGAUUUGGCUGUUUCUCAAAGAUCUGCACACGUAUGAAUGGAAGCUGCAGUUGCAAAAAGGGAUGGAAAGGGGAUAAAU